rnacentral:rRNA from 1 species
GACGAACGCUGGCGGCGUGCUUAACACAUGCAAGUCGAACGGAAAGGCCCUGCUUUUGUGGGGUGCUCGAGUGGCGAACGGGUGAGUAACACGUGAGUAACCUGCCCUUGACUUUGGGAUAACUUCAGGAAACUGGGGCUAAUACCGGAUAGGAUCUCCUGCUGCAUGGUGGGGGUUGGAAAGUUUCGGCGGUUGGGGAUGGACUCGCGGCUUAUCCGCUUGUUUGUGGGGUAGUGGCUUACCAAGGCUUUGACGGGUAGCCGGCCUGAGAGGGUGACCGGCCACAUGGGGACUGAGAGACGGCCCAGAAUCCUACGGGAGGCAGCAGUGGGGAAUAUUGUACAAUGGGCGGGAGCCUGAUGCAGCAACGCCGCGUGCGGGAUGACGGCCUUCGGGUUGUAAACCGAUUUCGCCGGUGACGAAGCGUGAGUGACGGUAAUGGGUAAAGAAGCACCGGCUAACUACGUG